rnacentral:rRNA from 1 species
AGAGUUUGAUCAUGGCUCAGAACGAACGUUGGCGGCGUGGAUUAGGCAUGCAAGUCGAACGAGAAAGUUCCCUUCGGGGGAUGAGUAAAGUGGCGAACGGGAGAGUAACGCGUGGGAAACCUACCCUUCAGCGGGGGACAACAGUUCUAACGAACUGCUAAUACCGCAUACGAUCCGGCGACCGCAUGGUGGCCGGCUGAAAGAUGGCCUCUGCUUGCAAGCUGUCACUGAAGGAUGGUCCCGCGUCCCAUUAGCUAGUUGGCGGGGUAAUGGCCCACCAAGGCGACGAUGGGUAGCCGGCCUGAGAGGGUGUCCGGCCUCACUGGGACUGAGAUACGGCCCAGACUCCUACGGGAGGCAGCAGUCGAGAAGCUUCGGCAAUGGGCGAAAGCCUGACCGAGCGACGCCGCGUGAGCGAUGAAGGCCUUAGGGUCGUAAAGCUCUGUCAGGAGGGAAUAAAUACCCGCGAUUAAUACCCGCGGGGGUUGAAGGUACCUCCAGAGGAAGCGCCGGCUAACUACGUGCCAGCAGCCGCGGUAAUACGUAGGGCGCAAACGUUGUUCGGAUUCACUGGGUAUAAAGGGUUCGUAGGCGGGCCAGUUAGUCAGAGGUGAAAGCCAACGGCUCAACCGUUGAAUUGCCUCUGAUACUGCUGGUCUUGAGUCCGCCAGGGGAUGGUGGAAUUCCUGGUGUAGCGGUGAAAUGCGUAAAUAUCAGGAGGAACACCAGUGGCGAAGGCGGCCAUCUGGGGCGGUACUGACGCUGAGGAACGAAAGCUAGGGUAUCAAACGGGAUUAGAUACCCUGGUAGUCC